GGACAAAAAAUGGUGCCCCAACUCCCCCCAACAAGAAUGAGAGAAAGCAGAUUUACUAGAGCUCAAUGCCUAUUGAAACAUAGGCUAUAAAAUACAUAGAUGAAAUUCGUUUUAUAGUCUCGUUUAUACCUCCACGCAGAUGCAGGUAAAUACGAUCUUUUUAGUCUGUUAAUUUUUUAAGAGUAUGAUCUUACUAAAAUCCUCAAUGUUGGAAAAAUAAAUGGUGAUUUCAGUACGUGGUAUACAUUUGCCUUGCUCUUGGCUCUUUUUGAAUGCAAGUUACAUGAGGACUGGUUAUGUUUCUAGUCAAGUGACUUAAAUUUUCCAUUUUGCUGACAACACAGACGUUUCUUUCGAUGUAUAUUCUUUAAAUGUGUGUGCAAAAUAGUCCUGAAUAAAAAUUGGUUGUCAAACUGUGUUUCUUUGUUGUGUGUGUUUGUUGUUCCGUGUACAGAGAUGGAAAACAGAAAGAAAGGUUUCUUCAUACGUCCAGUUAUUUCUAGUUCAUCAGAAUCAAGCUUGAAACGAAGCUCAAAGGAAGUGGAAACCAGGCUUCUUGGAAGACUUCAAACUAUGCCAAAUGGUCUGAUUUUACCAUAGAGAGUCCAUUGCUGUGUUCCAUGGAACAGACAAAACUCAGCAAGACAACAAAGACUUGAUCUGCAGGAGAGAAGGUAAUAAAGAGCAAGUCCUCUCCA
rnacentral:lncRNA from 12 species